rnacentral:rRNA from 1 species
AUUGAACGCUGGCGGCAUGCCUUACACAUGCAAGUCGAACGGCAGCACGGGGGGUAACCCCUGGUGGCGAGUGGCGAACGGGUGAGUAAUACAUCGGAACGUAUCCUGUAGCGGGGGAUAACCUCUCGAAAGAGAGGCUAAUACCGCAUACGACCUACGGGCGAAAGAGGGGGAUCGCAAGACCUCUCACUAUUGGAGCGGCCGAUGUCGGAUUAGCUAGUUGGUGGGGUAAAAGCCUACCAAGGCUACGAUCCGUAGCUGGUCUGAGAGGACGACCAGCCACACUGGAACUGAGACACGGUCCAGACUCCUACGGGAGGCAGCAGUGGGGAAUUUUGGACAAUGGGCGCAAGCCUGAUCCAGCCAUGCCGCGUGGGUGAAGAAGGCC